rnacentral:rRNA from 1 species
UACGUGGGGUGCAAGCGUUGUUCGGAAUUACUGGGCGUAAAGCGCGUGUAGGCGGCCUAUUAUGUCAGGUGUGAAAGCCCUCGGCCUAACCGAGGAAGUGCGCCUGAAACUGCUAGGCUUGAGUACGAGAGAGGAGGACGGAAUUCCCAGUGUAGAGGUGAAAUUCGUAGAUAUUGGGUGGAACACCGGUGGCGAAGGCGGCUCACUGGUCCGGUUCUGACGCUGAGGCGCGAAAGCGUGGGGAGCAAACAGG